AUGGGAGGAAGGAGAUGGGAGGCCGGAGGGAAAGAGAAGGGAGAGGUGAGGUGCGGCGGUGUCCUGCUGCUGCUUGUCGGUGGCUUGCCGGCCAUAGGCGCGAAGUGGCGGCUCUGUCCGGCGGUUUCCCAGGACAUCUACUACCGGAAGGCCAAGGAGGAGGGGCGGAGGGCUCGCAGCGCCUUCAAGCUCAUGCAGAUCGACCGGGAGCUCAACAUCUUCCACGGAGUGAAGCGUGUCGUUGACCUGUGCGCCGCUCCUGGGAGCUGGAGCCAGAUUUUGAGCCGCAAUUUGUAUCUACCGGCAAAGCUAUCAUCUGACGGCAAACAUGGUGGCCGGAAUUGA
rnacentral:rRNA from 1 species